GAAAUGCGAUAAGUAGUGUGAAUUGCAGAAUUUAGCGAAUCAUCGAAUCUUUGAACGCACAUUGCGCCCCUUGGUAUUCCAUGGGGCAUGCCUGUUCGAGCGUCAUUUCAACCCUCAAGCACUGCUUGGUGUUGGGCGUUUGUCCCGCCUACGCGCGUGGACUCGCCUCAAAGUCAUUGGCAGCUGUUCCCCUUCGGCUCGUAAGCGCAGCACAGUCGGCGCCCGGAGCUCUGGUGGGAUGGCGUCCAGCAAGCUAUAUUUUCAGGCUUGACCUCGGAUCAGGUAGGGAUAACCGCUGAACUUAAGC
rnacentral:misc_RNA from 1 species